rnacentral:tRNA from 1 species
GGGGCUCCGUGGCAGAGAAUCUGCUCAGGCCGGCAUGCAGAAGGUGCCGGGUUCAAUCCCCGGCAUCUCCA